UAACACAUGCAAGUCGAACGGCAGCACAGGAGAGCUUGCUCUCUGGGUGGCGAGUGGCGGACGGGUGAGGAAUACAUCGGAAUCUACUCUGUCGUGGGGGAUAACGUAGGGAAACUUACGCUAAUACCGCAUACGACCUACGGGUGAAAGCAGGGGACCUUCGGGCCUUGCGCGAUUGAAUGAGCCGAUGUCGGAUUAGCUAGUUGGCGGGGUAAAGGCCCACCAAGGCGACGAUCCGUAGCUGGUCUGAGAGGAUGAUCAGCCACACUGGGACUGAGACACGGUCCAGACUCCUACGGGAGGCAGCAGUGGGGAAUAUUGGACAAUGGGCGCAAGCCUGAUCCAGCCAUACCGCGUGGGUGAAGAAGGCCUUCGGGUUGUAAAGCCCUUUUGUUGGGAAAGAAAUCCAGCUGGCUAAUACCCGGUUGGGAUGACGGUACCCAAAGAAUAAGCACCGGCUAACUUCGUGCCAGCAGCCGCGGUAAUACGAAGGGUGCAAGCGUUACUCGGAAUUACUGGGCGUAAAGCGUGCGUAGGUGGUCGUUUAAGUCCGUUGUGAAAGCCCUGGGCUCAACCUGGGAACUGCAGUGGAUACUGGGCGACUAGAAUGUGGUAGAGGGUAGCGGAAUUCCUGGUGUAGCAGUGAAAUGCGUAGAGAUCAGGAGGACAUCCAUGGCGAAGGCAGCUACCUGGACCAACAUUGACACUGAGGCACGAAAGCGUGGGGAGCAAACAGGAUUAGAUACCCUGGUAGUCCACGCCCUAACGAUGCGAACUGGAUGUUGGGUGCAAUUUGGCACGCAGUAUGAAGCUACGCGUUAAGUUCGCCG
rnacentral:rRNA from 1 species